UUUAUUUUCAGGGUGUUGAGUUAGGAACCCUGCGGGUGCGGGGCUGUUUUAUUAAGGGCUUUCCAGGAAUCAGGAGCCCCGAAUAGGAGAGCGGGAAAAGCCCCGCAGAAUUAGUGUUGUUUAUCUGCCCUCUGCGAAGGGGUUUUUGAAUCGUUGGCUAACAAGAAGAGGUAUUCUUGUUAGAGUGGGGUCUCCACCUGAUAUGGAAAGGUUUUAACUUUUCCUAAAAUAAAGUUGGAAAGGA